AUCGUUCUUCGAUCUCUGCCAUUCGGAGAGACAUAUCUGAUUCCGUGGCGUCACGGAUUCCGUUCCUUGGUGUUUGGAUCACGUCCUUUAGCCUUCUUUCGAUCACUCGAAACGAAACUACUUCCAGAUCCAUCCCAUUAAACAUGUUUUUAAUUCUUUUGGCCACGAUCUACACUUUAAUGUGCGUUAAUCUUCGGUGUUUCUACUGGUAUAAAAAAGAUAUGCUUUCUUCCUCUCAAAACCAUCCUCUCUACAGAUGGUUCUCUCUCUUUCUCAUCUCCCUUUGCGAUUUCUCUGAGAUUAUAAGUUCCCAUUGUUAUUGUUUAGAAUUACUACUGUUUAUGUAUCUGACCGGAGUUAGAUACGGCGGUGUUGGGCCAUUCCAGGAAGCAACAGGCCUUGAAUCGCUUCAUCUCAACGGCUGCAGUUUCAGCAACCGUAAGAACAACAAAGAAAGCUUAUUUCCUUCAAAUGGCUAGCUCCUCUGAUCUGAAGUAGGUUCCUGUUCUUCCACCGUUGAGGUUAAGUUGCCGCGUUUAGCUCUAACUGGAAGUUCGCCGUAUGUCUCUCUUCGGGAAGAUGCAUCACCUUCUUUGGUAAAGGAGCUUACGUAUUCCUCUAAGGGAUCCCAAUCUCAAUCACCACCACGCCGUUGCUCAUGAAGGAAUUGGAUUCCCUUGCUGGGUUCUUCCAGAUCUUAUGUCUUUUCCUGAGUGAUUCAGACAAGAUGCUUACGACAAGCUUGAUGUGAUUGGUAUUGACGAAACAGAGAACUGGAGAUCUUUAUGAGUUUUGUUGCAAAGACGCUGAUGAUGAUGGCAACACUGUUAUUGUUGCAGUCGUUGAUGGUGAUUAUUUAAGGAGUUGGUGAUGUUCUUGAUAUUGUACCAAUAGAUGAUUCUGUCACAAAGCUAACUCCAAGGUGUGAGGUUUGCGGACACAAAGGUUUCUUCACUGUGAGGAAGACUUGUGACACCAGAACCGAGCUGAUCGGUGGGGUCGAUGUCUAUAUGCCCGUUUGUCUUAAGCACUAUAUCAAUAAUCAAAUUGUCAUCAAAGCUUCAAAGUAAGUUUUGGAUUCUGACAAGGUAAGAGCUGACACCUGUUUGGAGACAGUUGCUACUAUGAUCUAACUAUGACUUGCUGUGGAACGAAAUAAGCAUAUAUUAUAGUGAGAUUCUGUUCUUUGAAAGUGCCCUGUUGGUUUGUCAUUUUUUAGUCUUACAAGUUUUUUUUUGUAAAAGGCUUUCAUUUUCUUGAAUAGUAUGAUUAUC